GGCCCUUCACCUCAAGCACAUAUUCAGUACGGCUACUGCCCUUCGCCUCAAGCGCAUACUCAGCAUGGCUACUGCCCUUCGCCUCAAGCGCAUACUCAGCAUGGCUACUGCCCUUCGCCUCAAGCACAUAUUCAGCAUUGCCAUGGCUCUUCACCCCAAGCACAUAUUCACGAUAACCUUUCACCCCUUUUGCCCCCUUCACCGUCUUCAUCCACCUUGCUCCAAGAGCAUAUUCAGCAUGAUCCUUCACCCCAAGCACAUAUUCAGCAUUGCCAUGGCCCUUCACCCCAAGCACAUAUUCACGAUAAUCCUUCACCCCCUUCACUAUCUUCAUCCACUUUGCUCCAAGAGUAUAUUCAGCAUGAUCCUUCGC
rnacentral:lncRNA from 1 species